UCGGGAAUUUUGGGCAAUGGGCGAAAGCCUGACCCAGCAACGCCGCGUGAAGGAUGAAAUCCCUCGGGAUGUAAACUUCGCAAGAACGGGAAGAAUAAGUGGAAGUCAAUACCUUCCAUGAUGACGGUACCGUUUGUAAGCUCCGGCUAACUCCGUGCCAGCAGCCGCGGUAAUACGGGGGGAGCAAGCGUUGUUCGGAUUUACUGGGCGUAAAGGGCGCGUAGGCGGUCAGUGCAAGUCAGUUGUGAAAUCUCCGGGCUUAACUCGGAAAGGUCAACUGAUACUGCUCGACUAGAGUGCGGAAGGGGCAACUGGAAUUCUUGGUGUAGCGGUGAAAUGCGUAGAUAUCAAGAGGAACACCUGCGGCGAAGGCGGGUUGCUGGGCCGACACUGACGCUGAGGCGCGAAAGCUAGGGGAGCGAACGG
rnacentral:rRNA from 1 species